rnacentral:ncRNA from 1 species
UGGCUGAGAGGGCGACAUUUGGUUCGCUCGUUUGGGGUUACACCCAUCUCGGCCU